AUUGAACGCUGGCGGCAUGCUUUACACAUGCAAGUCGAACGGUCUUUUCUAUGGAAGCUUGCUUCCACUGAGAAGAUAGUGGCGAACGGGUGAGUAACACGUGGGUAACCUGCCCAUAAGAGGGGGAUAACAUCCGGAAACGGGUGCUAAUACCGCAUAGGUUUCUUGGUCGCAUGAUCGAGAAAGGAAAGACGGCCUUGGUGUUGUCGCUUAUGGAUGGACCCGCGGCGUAUUAGUUAGUUGGUGAGGUAACGGCUCACCAAGACGAUGAUACGUAGCCGACCUGAGAGGGUGAUCGGCCACAUUGGGACUGAGACACGGCCCAAACUCCUACGGGAGGCAGCAGUAGGGAAUCUUCCGCAAUGGACGAAAGUCUGACGGAGCAACGCCGCGUGAGUGAAGAAGGUUUUCGGAUCGUAAAACUCUGUUGUCAGAGAAGAACAAGUCGGAGAGUAACUGCUCCGGCCUUGACGGUAUCUGACCAGAAAGCCACGGCUAACUACGUGCCAGCCGCCGCCGUAAGAC
rnacentral:rRNA from 1 species